GACGAACGCUGGCGGCGUGCUUAACACAUGCAAGUCGAACGGAAAGGCCCUGCUUUUGUGGGGUGCUCGAGUGGCGAACGGGUGAGUAACACGUGAGUAACCUGCCCUUGACUUUGGGAUAACUUCAGGAAACUGGGGCUAAUACCGGAUAGGAGCUCCUGCUGCAUGGUGGGGGUUGGAAAGUUUCGGCGGUUGGGGAUGGACUCGCGGCUUAUCAGCUUGUUGGUCGGGUAGUGGCGUACCAAGGCUUUGACGGGUAGGCGGCCUGAGAGGGUGACCGGCCACAUUGGGACUGAGAUACGGCCCAGACUCCUACGGGAGGCAGCAGUGGGGAAUAUUGCACAAUGGGCGGAAGCCUGAUGCAGCAACGCCGCGUGCGGGAUGACGGCCUUCGGGGUGUAAACCGCUUUCGCCUGUGACGAAGCGUGAGUGACGGUAAUGGGUAAAGAAGCACCGGCUAACUACGUG
rnacentral:rRNA from 1 species